CAACAAAUCUUUCAAAACCCCUAUUGAAGCCAAGAUCAAACUCUCAGUUGAGCCAUGCAAAAUUAUCGAAACAAAUGAUCACGUGCUCUUCUUCUGCUGGUUCUGAAGAGACUUCCUCUUCUUCUGGCAAGGCCGCCAAGCCGCUCCAGGCUUUCUCAGCAGCCCUUGCGCUUUCCUCAAUUCUGCUAUCAGCCCCACAGCCCGCAGUUGCCGACAUCAGCGGCCUCACCCCCUGCAAAGAGUCCAAACAAUUCGCCAAGCGCGAGAAGCAGCAGCUCAAGAAGCUCGAGUCUUCACUAAAACUGUACGCUCCCGACAGCGCCCCGGCUCUCGCAAUCAAAGCCACCAUGGAGAAGACGAAACGGCGGUUUGACAACUACGGGAAGUACGGGUUGCUGUGCGGGUCAGAUGGGUUGCCGCAUCUGAUUGUGAGCGGUGACCAGAGGCACUGGGGUGAGUUUAUCACUCCGGGGUUGUUGUUUUUGUACAUAGCUGGAUGGAUCGGGUGGGUUGGCAGGAGCUACUUGAUCGCCAUUAGCGGUGAAAAGAAGCCGGCCAUGAAGGAGAUCAUCAUUGAUGUUCCUUUGGCUUCCAGGUUGGUCUUCAGAGGUUUUAGCUGGCCUGUUGCUGCUUACAGAGAGUUCGUUAAUGGUGAACUUGUUGUCAAGGACGUUUAAUCAUUCUAUCUAUUUCUAUCUCCUCUGGUAAUCUCAAUUUCUUUGUUGUAAUUUUUCAUUUCCAUUUUUAUUAUGUGUCAUGUGUUGUUGCUUACUUGCCUGUGUAAUUUGAGGCCGUGUGAUUUAUCAUGGAAUUAUCAAUUAUGGAUGUACUUGAAUAAUGUUAAAACUUCUCAUGGAAAGUUCAUACAAAGACAUGCAAAUUGAUAAGGUGCGGUUUUAUGUGUGUGUCUGUGUGUGAGGUCCGAAUGUUACAUGAAUAAACAUCAAACUAUUACUACCCAUUGUUUAUUGUUUCUUAAUCGUAUCUUUAGCGAAGUCUUAUUAGUAAUCAAAAUUAAAUAUUUGGAUCAUAAUUUAUGAUCAGGAUAAGAGAUGAUCUAUCAUAGUUGUGGCCUGGGGUGUAUGGAAUGUGAAGUUCUAGUCAAGGGUAGCUGGGUUGUUGUAUUUUAAGUUGAUAUGAAUUUUGUUCUUGGACACACAAGUGGGACUGCAGAGCAUGGGACAGACAGAAAUGGAGGAAUAAUCGAUAGCCGGACUGAGGGAAAUUUUAUGUAUCUAAAGUUUGUAAACUUGAUUAUAUGUAAUUCUGGUGAUGUUUUUUUUUAUACUGAUCCUGAUCCUGAUCCUGAUAAUUGAGUGCAGCAAAUCUUGGGUUUUAUGGUUGUGAUUGGUGAUUUUAGCAAAGGAUAGGAAUAGAUGUGAAAUUAAAUCUUAAUCAUGGAUAGUUGCAAAUGUACAUGUGACGAGAUUUGCACAUUCAGUCACUUGUUCAUAAAAUUGAUUGAUAUAAUUUUUGUUCUUGGACACAGGAGUGGGACUCUACAGAGCAGGGGGCUGACAGAAAGGGAGGAAAUAUGAAAGCUGGAUGCCUGGAUUUCUGGGAAUUGGUUGAGGAAUGGGGAGAGGGAAAUUUUAUGUGUCUAAAGUUUGUGAAUUUGAUUAUGUUGAUUGAUACUGAUCCUGAUCCUGAUCAAAUCAAACUCAAUUCCCGUUUGCUCUUCACAUUCACGUGCCACUCUUUAUCUCCAUGUUAUUUUUACGUUGGAAGAAAACAAAAGAAAAAGAAAGAAAGAAAGAAAUGACAACAGAAGAAAAUAGAGAGUAAGCAUUAGCUCAAAAUGGUGUUUAAUUAAGUGGGAGACGGAAGGUAAUGUGUUAAAAAAGUGAUGAUACAGUUAUAAAUUUUUGUAUAAAUUUAUUUUGUAUAAAAUGACGUGACAUUAAUUCAUUGAUUGAAUAAAA
rnacentral:lncRNA from 1 species